UCUGCAACGAGCUGUGUUGGUC
rnacentral:siRNA from 1 species